GAGGCGUGCGAGGGCUGUCGCUGACUUUUUGACACAAAAAGUCGUGCACGCCGGAGUGCGUCCUCUCACAUAAAAUCCAUCUCACCCUUUUGUGCACCACCGCGUGGGCNCCCUUUGGGAUCGAAUCGAUCCAGGAGGGGGCUUGCGUUUUCACACAAACCCCUUUUAAAAAGUGUAGAAUGACCCCACUUUGCGAUGACACGCAAUCAAUACAACUUUCAACAACGGAUCUCUUGGCUCUCGCAUCGAUGAAGAACGCAGCGAAAUGCGAUACGUAAUGUGAAUUGCAGAAUUCAGUGAAUCAUCGAAUCUUUGAACGCACCUUGCGCCCCUUGGUAUUCCGAGGGGCACACCCGUUUGAGUGUCGUGAAAAUCUCAACCUUCUCGGUUUUCUUCUGGACACCGAAGGAGGCUUGGACUUUGGAGGCCUUUGCUGGCAUCUCUCUCUUCUUGAGAGCCAGCUCCUCUUAAACGAAUUAGCGGGGUCCUCUUUGCCGAUCCUCGACAUGUGAUAAGAUGUUUCCAUGACUUGGUUUCUGGCUCUGUUGCCUUUGGGACCCGCUUCUAACCGUCUCGACGAGACAACGUUUGGGCGCGUCUCCCUUCUCGGGAGACUCUCUCAACCCCACGAACCCNUGAC
rnacentral:rRNA from 1 species